GACGAACGCUGGCGGCGUGCUUAACACAUGCAAGUCGAACGGAAAGGCCCUGCUUUUGUGGGGUGCUCGAGUGGCGAACGGGUGAGUAACACGUGAGUAACCUGCCCUUGACCUUGGGAUAACUUCAGGAAACUGGGGCUAAUACCGGAUAGGAGCUCCUGCUGCAUGGCGGGGGUUGGAAAGUUUCGGCGGUUGGGGAUGGACUCGGGGCUUAUCAGCUUGUUGGUGGGGUAGUGGCUUACCAAGGCUUUGACGGGUAGCCGGCCUGGGAGGGUGACCGGCCACAUUGGGACUGAGAUACGGCCCAGACUCCUACGGGAGGCAGCAGUGGGGAAUAUUGCACAAUGGGCGGAAGCCUGAUGCAGCAACGCCGCGUGCGGGAUGACGGCCUUCGGGUUGUAAACCGCUUUCGCCUGUGACGAAGCGUGAGUGACGGUAAUGGGUAAAGAAGCACCGGCUAACUACGUG
rnacentral:rRNA from 1 species